ACCCCCGUCCCGCGAGGCCACUCCGCGGCCCGGACGACCCUGGAAACAACGAGCGACCAGUGCGGUCCGGGGCCGCCCACCCGAGAGACCCUCACUCCCAGGCCAUGUAACGAUCUGUGCUGACCGAACUUCGUUUGAGCCGGAAGUGGAUAUCGCACCGUCUUAACUUGAAAGCCACGAGACAACAGAUCUGCCGGGACAAUAAACCAUGGCAUCCUCCCCCCUUCGCCCCAGGAAGACAGUCAUUGCUGUGUCUUUGAUGGCCACCGCAUGGCAAAACUAGUCAGGACUGAAGAACAGACACGGUCGCAAGGCCCAGCUGUCAUCUGGACCACCGCUUGGUGACUGAUGAGCGCGGGCACAUCACGCCAUCUCUCUGGUCUCCACUCCUCGAGGUUACAUGACGUGCGAUACCACAGCAGACUGAAUUCAGAAGCAGAUAUGAGAGCCCACGUCUUCUCUAGUAAGCCAGACAUUUACAGAGAUAUAUAAAAAAUGUAAAACGAUGCUACUCCUCUCACUACAAUGUUUUAUUUUGGAAAACGUAGUUUUUCAUGAAAAUGUGUGAUUUAUGUUAACCCAUAAAGGUUUAUUAUUAUAAAUGAAUUAAUAAA